CCGCAAUGGACCUAAGUCUGACGGAGCAACGGCGUGAGUGAUGAAGGUUUUCGGAUCGUAAAACUCUGUUGUUAGGGAAGAACAAGUACCGUUCGAAUAGGGCGGUACCUUGGUACCUAACCAGAAAGCCACGGCCAACUACGUGCCAGCAGCCGCGGUAAUACGUAGGUGGCAAGCGUUCGGAAUUAUUGGGCGUAAAGCGCGCGCAGGCGGCUCUUAAGUCUGAUGUGAAAGCCCCCGGCUCAACCGCUAGAGGGUCAUUGGAAACUGGGGAACUUGAGUGCAGAAGAGGAGAGUGGAAUUCCACGUGUAGCGGUGAAAUGCGUAGAGAUGUGGAGGAACACCAGCGAAGGCGACUCUCUGGUCUGUAACUGACGCUGAGGCGCGAAAGCGUGGGAGCGAACAGGAUUAGAUACCCUGGUAGUCCAUGCCGUAAACGAUGAGUGCUAAGUGUUAGAGGGUUUCCCCUUUAGUGCUGCAGCACGCAUUAAGCACUCCGCCUGGGGAGUACGGUCGCAAGACUGAAACUCAAAGGAAUUGACGGGGGCCCGCACUAGCGGUGGAGCAUGUGGUUUAAUUCGAAGCAACGCGAAGAACCUUACGGUCUUGACAUCCUCUGACAACCCUAGAGAUAGGGCUUCUCCUUCGGGGGCAGAGUGACAGGUGGUGCAUGGUUGUCGUCAGCUCGUGUCGUGAGAUGUUGGGUUAAGUCCCGCAACGAGCGCAACCCUUGAUCUUAGUUGCCAGCAUUCAGGGGCACUCUAAGGUGACUGCCGAACAAACCGGAGGAAGGUGUGGGGAUGACGUCAAAUCAUCAUGCCCCUUAUGACCUGGGCCACACGUGCUACAAUGGGCAGAACAAAGGGCAGCGAAGCGAGGCUAAGCCAAUCCCACAAAUGUUCUCAGUUCGGAUCGCAGUCUGCAACUCGAGUGCGUGAAGCUAAUCGCUAGUAAUCGCGGAUCAGCAUGCCGCG
rnacentral:rRNA from 1 species